AUUGAACGCUAGCGGGAUGCCUAACACAUGCAAGUCGAACGGAGUGGAGAACGGGUGAGUAAUGAAUCGGAACGUGCCUAGUAGCGGGGGAUAACUAAGCGAAAGAGUAGCUAACAAAGCAUACUAUCGGAGCGGCCGAUAUCGGAUUAGCUAGUGGGUGGGGUAACGGCUCACCAAGGCGACGAUCCCUAGCUGGUUUGAGAGGACGAACAGCCACACUGGGACUGAGACACGGCCCAGACUCCUACGGGAGGCAGCAGUGGGGGAUUUUGGACAAUGGGGGAAACCCUGAUCCCGCCAUCCCGCGUGUGCGAGGAAGGCCUUCGGGUUGUAAAGCACUUUUGGCAGGAAAGCGGUACCUGCAGAAUAAGCACCGGCUAACUACGUGCCAGCAGCCGCGGUAAUAC
rnacentral:rRNA from 1 species